ACGAGAAAAGUCAACCAUAUUUACAAACAGCGGAAAUAGUUUUUGAAACAAAAUCCAAAGUAUUUAAAUAGAAAAUACAACGGGGCUAUGAGACCCAUCAGACAUAGCCCAUACCCUUGGAGUAUUCUCGGCAGACACCUGCAUAAAAGCACUGCCCCAAGAAUCUCUACUUUCCCCACAUCACAUCAAAAUGUGGAACAUGGACCCAUUAAAAGAAAAAGUCAUCAGACAGUUUAAGCUUAGAUACAAUCUUCCAAAAUGAAAUAAAUACAAUCCCAAGAGAAAGACAUCUAGUCCUUAUACAACCACCUAAUCUGAUCAUGCUACAAAACUACACCACCCUGGUGAUCUCCACGCGCCCCGCAAGAUCCUCCUGACAUAGCUUUGGUCAAGUAUGACUAACUACUUUCCCAUCUCCAGGGUACUAACCGGUAGGAUGAUCCUGGUUCUUAUCU
rnacentral:lncRNA from 1 species